UACGUAGGGGGCUAGCGUUGUCCGGAAUCAUUGGGCGUAAAGCGCGUGUAGGCGGUCCGGUAAGUCCGCUGUGAAAGUCGGGGGCUCAACCCUCGAAUGCCGGUGGAUACUGUCGGGCUAGAGUGCGGAAGAGGCGGAGUGGAAUUCCUGGUGUAGCGGUGAAAUGACGCAGAUAUCAGGAAGAACACCCGUGGCGAAGGCGGCUCUCUGGGACGGUACUGACGCUGAGACGCGAAAGCGUGGGGAGCGAACAGG
rnacentral:rRNA from 1 species